GAUAAACGCUGGCGGCGUGCAUAACACAUGCAAGUCGAACGAAGUGGCGAACGGGUGAGUAACACGUGAGUAACCUGCCUUACACAAGGGGAUAGCCUUUGGAAACGAAGAAUAAUACCCUAUAGUGUAAGAUGGACUUGCGUCUGAUUCGCUAGUUGGUGGGAUAAAAGCCUACCAAGGCGACGAGCAGUAGCCGGCUUGAGAUAGUGGACGGCAACAGUGGGACUGAGACAAGGCCCAAACUCGACGGGAGGACGCAGUGGGGAAUUUUGCACAAUGUGGGAAACACGGAGGCAGCGACGCCGCGUGAUUUAGAAGUCCUUCGGGUUGUAAAAAUCUUGUAUAUGGGAUGCAGUACCAUAAGAAUAAGGUCCGGCUAAAUACGUGCCAGCAGCCGCGGUAAUUC
rnacentral:rRNA from 1 species